GUAGGUCUGGAUGGGGCUUGAUAAUUUGCAUUUCUAAUGCUUUCCCAGAUGAUAUGAUGCUGCUGGUCCAAGGACUACAUUUCGAGAACCCCAACCACGCAUGGAUUGUUGUCAACUAUGAAUCACAAGAGAUUUCCAGGGUUUUGUCUGCUGCCUUCCCUGCAAGCCCUGCCAUCCACUGAGACCCAACCUCAGCCAUUCUUGGCACAUCAGCCCAUGAGAAGUCUGCCACUCUUUCUUCCUAAGCAAAGCAGCAUCCUUCAGGGCCUGGAGCUCCUGGACACAAAAGCCAUUUUUGGGAGCCAGCAAAACAGCUGAGGCACAGACUAGAUGGUAGUCCAAGGACCAAGACCUGGCCAGCCAGAGGGACCAGGUGUCCAGACCCCGGACUGUUUUCAAUACAGUUAUACAAUGAAAUCAAA
rnacentral:lncRNA from 1 species